rnacentral:lncRNA from 1 species
GAGGCUAUGCAGAUAGCUGUGUAUUCAGUCAACUGAGCUCGAACUCAAAGAUGAGGGAAACUCACAGCUUAAAAUUCAUGUGGCACAUACAAGUAGCUGUUAAAAUAGCGUCAAAUAACGUUCCAUGUCACGUGAUGAGCAUACUCAUGAGACUAAAAUAAAUAGCAGAUACUUUAUUAUCUAAGAGUAUUUCAAGUGUGGUACUUUCUGACAAUGCUCACAAAGAAUCACGAGGUCAAAGAGUGCCAGAGUCAUGUGGACCUGUGAAACCCUGACAACUGUUAGUUUCCACUUAGUUUUCUCAUGAUAGGGCUGUCAGGUUCAGCAUUAGUGAAAAUACUUCCUACAACAACAUGAGUACCCCAGAUGUUAUGACGAAUAACUUUGCAGCAGCCGAGAUCAUCAACAGAGAAUCCAAAGUGGCGGUAGCGUUCAUCUGUUUCAAACAGAGUGUUGUUUGUGUAAGGCCCAAAAAAUGCCAGUCCUGAGGAAGGAUCAAUGAAGUCAGCCCAAUAGCCUUCAGAACAGAUUGCAUAGCAGAUUUCCUUGGCACCAUUAAUGAAAUUUUCUAACAGCAUUUC